AACCAUUCUCACCUGCGGCUAGACCUGCGGAAGGAUCAUUACCGAGUUUACAACUCCCAAACCCCUGUGAACAUACCUAUACGUUGCCUCGGCGGAUCAGCCCGCGCCCCGUAAAAAGGGACGGCCCGCCCGAGGACCCCUAAACUCUGUUUUUAGUGGAACUUCUGAGUAAAACAAACAAAUAAAUCAAAACUUUUAGCAACGGAUCU
rnacentral:misc_RNA from 1 species